GGAUUCCCAGAGGAUUUUGCAUUUCUGACAACGGACGGAGCUGACAGCUGGUCCACACAAAAAUAGUCCCAGGUGCCCAGUGUGUCCCACAUGUCCUGGUGACGGCUCUGUGUGACAACAGGCUUCCUGCACAGCUCCAGCAUCGAUGUUACGUUAGAGAUUUUCUUCUUUACAAACUUCCUCACUAGGAAAGAAAUAGAUUUUAACUAUACUGGAUGAGGUUCUCAGGUGGAUUUUGUAAUCAGAACACAGAAUCCCUUCUGUGGACAGAGGGAUGCAUUUAGGGAACCCGGACUGUCCUCAUCUCAGGGCACUGUAAGUACAGAGAUGAAAUUUCUAAAAUUAUUGAAUUUAAUAUGGGGCAUACAUGUGUAAUUCAAGAAGCUCUUGAACAAAAAUUAAUCAUGUAGGGAUCAAUCAUAAACCAGUUAAUCUUUGGAAAUCUAUCACAUUUUACAUACUCUACUCAGGAUAAAGUCUAAUCCAAGUAAAUGAGGGUGAAACUACCAUAAUUUCUUCAAAUUUUGCCACAGAUAUUAACUAAUUAGUUAACAUGCUGGGUCUUUAAGCACUAUGGAAUUUAGAAAGAGCUUUAGCAAAAUUUAGUGUUGCGUUAACCACACAAAGAGUAAAGCUCUCUCCUUGUAAUUCUGGCAGUAACAUUUUCUCAGAUAACUGGUGUUUAGGCAGAAGAAGGAACAGGAACCACCCAAGUAUCAUUGUAGGAUCACCAGCUGAAACCUGCACUCUGGAAAGCUCUUGGUAAAACGCUAAUUGGUCUUACAGGUGCCUAAAACUGGAGGGUUCCUGAUGCAGUGCCUGCAUGGAAGUGUGCCAGUGGUGGCAUGUCCCCAGCCAGCUGGACCCAGGACCUGUCCAGCCGUACUGGGAUUCAUCAUGGGACCUUUGGAGGAGCAUCAUUCCCUUUCGGUUCCCAAGUGGAAAACAGGAGAAGAGACACCUGGCAUAGACGGGCGGAGGGCACCAGGCACCCAGCUGCAGAGGGUCUGGGCACACUCCGGGGAGUUUUCACUAGUGCCACAGUCAGGUCCUGGUGUUGCAGGACCAGGGCUCACCUCUUAUUGGGGCCCUGGUGUGGAUCAGCCCUGCUGGCUGGUCACAGCCCCAGCCUGAGCUGUGCCAGGGGAGGAAAUACCCCAGACAUCAGUGAGCGAUCCCACUGGGCCUGGGGGCCCUCGGAGUUCACUGAACUGGUUUGCCCCUUCUCUUGCUUAGCAAGUUGCUUUUACGGAGGAAUUGUAUCACGGGCCUUGUAUCACAUCACACUUGUUAUAUCAUCAGCUGGAGAGCUUCUAUUUAUGGCGUUUAUUGCUUCCAGCUCUUAG
rnacentral:lncRNA from 1 species